rnacentral:rRNA from 1 species
GAUCAACGCUGGCGGCGUGCCUAAUGCAUGCAAGUCGAACGGGGUGCUUUCGGGCACUUACGUGGCGGACGGGUGAGGAACACGUGGGCAAUCUGUCCCAAGGUGGGGGGUAGCCAUCGGAAACGAUGGGUAAUUCCGCAUGUGUCCGGUUUCUGGUGGGGAGACUGGAGAAAGGCCUUCGGGUCGCCUUGGGGGGAGCCUGCGUCCGAUUAGCUAGUUGGUGUGGUAACGGCGCACCAAGGCGGUGAUCGGUAGCUGGUCUGAGAGGACGGCCAGCCACAUGGGGACUGAGACACGGCCCCAACUCCUACGGGAGGCAGCAGCAAGGAAUUUUCCGCAAUGGGGGCAACCCUGACGGAGCAACGCCGCGUGCGGGAAGACGCUUUUCGGAGUGUAAACCGCUUUUCUCGGGGAAGAUGAAGGACGGUACCCGAGGAAUAAGGCCCGGCUAACUACGUGCCAGCAGCCGCAGUAAUAC